ACGAACGCUGGCGGCGUGCCUAAUACAUGCAAGUUGAGCGCUGAAGGUUGGUACUUGUACCAACUGGAUGAGCAGCGAACGGGUGAGUAACGCGUGGGGAAUCUGCCUUUGAGCGGGGGACAACAUUUGGAAACGAAUGCUAAUACCGCAUAAAAACUUUAAACACAAGUUUUAAGUUUGAAAGAUGCAAUUGCAUCACUCAAAGAUGAUCCCGCGUUGUAUUAGCUAGUUGGUGAGGUAAAGGCUCACCAAGGCGAUGAUACAUAGCCGACCUGAGAGGGUGAGCGGCCACAGUGGGACUGAGACACGGCCCAAACUCCUACGGGAGGCAGCAGUAGGGAAUCUUCGGCAAUGGACGAAAGUCUGACCGAGCAACGCCGCGUGAGUGAAGAAGGUUUUCGGAUCGUAAAACUCUGUUGGUAGAGAAGAACGUUGGUGAGAGUGGAAAGCUCAUCAAGUGACGGUAACUACCCAGAAAGGGACGGCUAACUACGUG
rnacentral:rRNA from 1 species